rnacentral:rRNA from 1 species
UCUCAAGCGUUGUUCGGAUUCAUUGGGCGUAAAGGGUGCGUAGGCGGCGCGGUAAGUCGGGUGUGAAAGCCCUCAGCUUAACUGAGGAAGUGCGCCCGAAACUGCAGAGCUUGAGUACCGGAGAGGGUGGCGGAAUUCCCCAAGUAGAGGUGAAAUUCGUAGAUAUGGGGAGGAACACCGGUGGCGAAGGCGGCCACCUGGACGGAUACUGACGCUGAGACGCGAAAGCGUGGGUAGCAAACAGG